rnacentral:rRNA from 1 species
GCUUACGGUCAUACCUCCCUGAGCAGGGCUGAUUUUGACAGCUAAGCACAGUUGGGCCUAGUUAGUACUUGGAUGUGAGACCAACUGGGAAUAACCAGCGCUGUCAGCU